rnacentral:rRNA from 1 species
UACGUAGGGUGCAAGCGUUACUCGGAAUUACUGGGCGUAAAGCGUGCGUAGGUGGUUUGUUAAGUCUGAUGUGAAAGCCCUGGGCUCAACCUGGGAAUUGCAUUGGAUACUGGCAGGCUAGAGUGCGGUAGAGGGUAGUGGAAUUCCCGGUGUAGCAGUGAAAUGCGUAGAUAUCAGGAGGAAUACCGAUGGCGAAGGCAGGUCUCUGGGCUGACACUGACGCUCAUGCACGAAAGCGUGGGGAGCAAACAGG